rnacentral:rRNA from 1 species
GACGAAGGGGGCUAGCGUUGUUCGGAAUUACUGGGCGUAAAGGGCGCGUAGGCGGUUUGAUAAGUUGGGUGUGAAAUCCCAGGGCUCAACCCUGGAACUGCACCCAAGACUAUCAGACUUGAAUUCGGUAGAGGUUGGCGGAAUUCCCAGUGUAGAGGUGAAAUUCGUAGAUAUUGGGAAGAAUAUCCGUGGCGAAGGCGGCCAACGGGACCGACAUUGACGCUGAGGCGCGAAAGCGUGGGGAGCAAACAGG